GUGUUUGCUUUGGCAACACAUAUACUAAAACUGGGACGAUACAGAGAAGUUUAGCAUGGUCCCUGCACAAGGAUGACACAAAAAUUAAUGAAGGGUUCCAAUUUUAC
rnacentral:snRNA from 1 species